rnacentral:rRNA from 1 species
GACGAACCGUGCGAACGUUGUUCGGAAUCACUGGGUUUAAAGGGUGCGUAGGUGGGCAGGUAAGUCAGUGGUGAAAUCUCCGGGCUUAACCCGGAACUGCCGUUGAUACUAUUUGUCUUGAAUAUUGUGGAGGUAAGCGGAAUAUGUCAUGUAGCGGUGAAAUGCUUAGAUAAUGACAUAGAACACCAAAUUGCGAAGGCAGCUUACUACACAACGAUUGACGCUGAGGCACGAAAGCGUGGGGAUCAAACAG